AUGCACGCUCUCAGCGAUCUGCCCGAUGACGUGUUGGUGGAGAUCGUCGUCCGCCUGCCAGCCCACUCCAUCGCCCGCUGCCGCGCCGUCUGCAGGGCCUGGCGUUCUGCCAUCUCCCACGCCACCUUCGACAUGGCCCUCGCCAGACGCCCGGCCGCCGUCGCCACGGUGACGGCUGAUCGUCUGGGGUUCGAAUUCCACACCGAUUACGCCUACGCCUUGGAAGGCACAACGCCAACGCUUGUCAGCAGGACCCGCGUCGUCUUCGACUUAUUCCUCCGCUGGCGCCGCCGACCGCCAUGUCCGCUGGAAGUCCGGCUCAUAUCCGACUCGCGUUCCAGCAUCGUUACGACCGUCCGUGGUUCGUGGGACGGGGUGCUGUGCAUAGAGCGCGGGGUCUGGAAGUGGAAGCCGCGGCCGUUGCGCUACCACGUGGAGCAGUACUUGCUCUGGAAUCCAGUCACCAAGGCCUGCGCCACCGUGUGCCCCCCGGCCGACCGCGGAAAGAUCAUUGGCGCCUACGCGCACCCGACCACACGGGCCUUCCACCUCGUCCACGGUUCCGGCGAAGUUGUAAACGAUCACCUGAUGGCCCCGACGACCUUCUUGAUCGGAAGGGUUGGAGACGAUAUGGCCUGGCGUGAGAUUCCCCUCGAGGAAGCAAGCCCCACGGAUGAUGCGCGGCCAUCAAAGAUCUUUAUAAGCAGCAACCGCAACGCCCGCUGCGUCGGGUUACGCGGCAACUUGCACUGGCUGGCACUGUCGGGCUCGGGAACGCUGCGUAUCCUCGCGUUCGACACGUCGUCACAGGAUAGGUUCCGGCAGAUAGAGGCGCCGGAGCUCGGGCGUGGACCAGCGGACCUAACCAAGGUGCGACUGGGUACGCGGUCCGGUAGCAAGCUCUGCAUCUUCUCUGUGGCUCCAUCGAUGAGCAGCAUGGACGUGUGGGUGCUCGACGGCUACUGCGCCACCGUGCGGCGGAGCAGCUGGCGGCGCAAAGAACGGAUCAGUUUUGUGUCAAGCUGGACGUUCAACGCGGCCACGGAGGUGGAGGUGGAGGUGGUGGAGGGCGUUGGGGAGGGCGAGGAGAUUUUCCUCCACUUUGAGACCUGGAUCGGCGUCUACAACAUUCGAUGCAAGACGUGGCGCCGCGUCAUGGAGGUUCCCGGGUUGAUUACUUUAGGGUCUCAUGUGUCGCUGGUGAUGCACAGGGAGAGCGCUCUGCAGCACGAGGUGAGCUUUGGCGACGCGUCGCGGGCUGUUUCUUGGAGGGUCGACAGCGACGGGACGCAUCGCUACAAUGUGGCAUAG
rnacentral:rRNA from 1 species